rnacentral:lncRNA from 1 species
UCAGUAAGCAUUUGUUCCAGUAGGAAGAGGAGAGGAAACUGAGAUGAUUCUCCCUGCCAGCUGCCAACUUGAGGAAAAAGGAAGAGAGAACUCCCCUUUUCCAACAGGAACAGGAGAAAAAAUGGGAUGGAACCAAAAGGAGGAAAUAUCAUGACAAAAACAAAGAGAUUGAGAUGAAAAAAGAUACAAAGGAGGAAAAACAUGAAUUUCUGAAAUAUAGCUGGUGUCCCUUGCCCUUGGAAGGCUCGGUCAAUCAUCUGACUUUGAAGCCUGGUUCACCACCUAUUUGCUCCAGAAGCAAGCCGAUGCUGAUCUCCCCCCACAUUGCCUCAUCAGCUCCCUGCCAGUCGCCGAUGUCAGCAACUCACCAUUCUUGUUCAUCUCGGAAACCAAACCUGGUGGGACCAGUGUUCAACAAACUUUCCGGAACUGUUUGGGGCCCUUAAUGCCUCUUAUCGAGGGCCUAUGUUUAAAAGUGUAUCUGUGGUGGUAAAUGCUUCUGUUCCCAUAGAUGUUUGUUGUGUGUUUCACGCACCUGAUCAUUCCCCAAGUUUAGGUCCACCGAUGUUCAUAGGAAAUCAAACCAACUGUCAUAUACAUGUCAUCCCUAAUAAUUGUACCGGGUGGUGUAAUUAUACAAAUAGUCACAUCAUCACACAGCCCCCUUAUAGUGAAACAUGACACCACCCAGGUUGGUCUGUUACCUGGUUCGCCUUUCUGACUGAGUUGGCAAUGAUUUGGAGCCGAAGUACAUUUCUCUUCAGACACCCCCGUUCCACAGUUACGCCCAGGGCAUUUUUGGAUUUGUGGGAACCGUGCACAUUCCAGUCUCCCUCUCAAUCCACACGGAGUCUGCACAAUAGACCGCCUUAGGUUGCAUGGAGGGGGAAUAUAUUACACCCAAAGACCACACUUCUAUAAUCGCCUCCAACGCCGGUCCUAUUGGACCUUUUGGGAAAACGUAAAAUCAGCCAGCGCAAACCUAGGCUCAUCUAUUCAUA